rnacentral:lncRNA from 1 species
CCAAUCACCGCCAACACACAACACCAUCACGAUUCGAACAACGUUGUGCACCACUCUAGACUCCAGAUUUGCAUGCGAGCUUGACCCCCUUAGCCUAGCCACUACCGUGCCACUGCAACUCCAUCUGUGUGCGUGAUACCAAUCUUCAAGGAUCCCUGUGCGCGUGACCUCAACCUCUAAGGCUUCGCGUGUGUGUGACUUUCCUAUUGCGCGGUGGUGUUGUGGUGUAUAGAUCUCUUGGUGUGGGGUGUUGUUUGGGUCGUGCGAUGAUGUUGUUGGUGUUUUUUUUUUUCACGGCCCUUCAAGAAAAUAAUGAAAACACAAUUUCAUUGUACAACUAUACAACGAAAUGGUAUUUCUGUUGUUUUUUUUCCACACCCGUUUAGUAAAUAAUGGAAACACGACUCC